AAGCGGAGGAAAACGAGUGGGCCAAUCCUUGCCGGAGAGUUGUUCGGUAGUGUAUUUUGGAAAAGCCGGGAUGUUACUUUUAGUUGGCGCCCUCUUCGCCCUUUUUUCGGCAGCACACGGCCAGUUGAACCCCCUCGGAAGGUUUGGUAAAUGUAAAGAUGUGGCUACGAUCAGGGGACUGUGAUAUGGAAGGAACAAGGUACCUACAGUACCGUCCUGACAACCCGGACCACUAUGUCCACACAUGCCAGGCCACCUACGAACAGGUGGUUCAGGGAGACCUAGCUGCACUCCUCUAUUUCUACAAGUAAGUUAACGUAUCAAAGUGAUUUAAUA